rnacentral:rRNA from 1 species
GUCUACGGCCGUGCCACCCUGAACAAGCCCGAUCCCGUCUGAUCUCGGACGCUAAACAGGGUCGGGCCUGGUUAGUACUUGGAUAGGAGACCACCUAGGAAGACCAGGUGCUGUAGGCA